CUUCCUCGCUCUGCUUCUCCACCCGCCGUGGGAGCCGUUUUCCUCAGCCCAGCUCUGUUGAUGCUCAUUCUGGGCCGGGUCCCAAAGUAAGCUGCUCACAACGGUGGACUAGACCGGUACUCGUCAAUGCCAUACUUGGACCCCUCGCGCCCAAGGCCGGACUGUUUCACCCCACCAAAAGGACAUUCCACUGAAGAGAUGAGUCCUUCAUUCACACCGACCAUGCCGCCCUCCAGCUGCUCCGCCACUCUCCAGAUCUGGGCCGGGUCUUGAGAGUAAAAGUAACCUAGCAGGGGAACAAAGGCACGCAGACGGUUUGAGGAAUUCUCCUGAAAGUCACACGCGCCAGCCUCUGAGGGUGCCUGCCUGGUCACAGAGGCCCCGGGGUUCUCCUGCUUGCAGGUAAAGAAAGGCCCAGGUUGGUUUUGUCCACAUUUUCAUCCUAACAUCACGUUAAGCGUCUGUUUCUCUCUUGUUGGGGUCCUCCCCAGUCCCACUGGGCCUUUGUAAGCAUGCGCGUCUGUGCUCUCCUCCUGCUCCUCAGCCCCUCCUCCUUCAGAGGGCAAGAUGCUUCUUUAAGCCUUGCGGGUCGAUCCUAGUUGUCUAUAAAACAAGCCCACAUUGCCCGGUCCUGUCCCAGAGUGUGGCUGGGUCAGCCUUUUCAGCUUACUCCUGACUGUAAUUCAGAACUUAAGAGUAAUGCUCAAAAGGCGGAGGCUGGCCUUGACUUGCGUCAUGCCGACGGUGGCUGCCAGUCAGAAAACCUACCUGCCAAUCCAACCUCAGCUGCAUUUGCGAUGGCGACGGCCUCUUCCUCCUUAUCAAACCUGUCGGAGUUAAAGCAGGUCAUGAGCAAAAUCUGUGAGCUGAGGAAUAGAGAAAACCAGCUUUAUGUUCUCCUGAUUCACUUCCUAAAUACUGACAAGGAGAAGGUCAGAGUUGCAAAGCGAUCGAAGGGGAGGAGAAAUGAGUGGAGUAGAAGUGCAGACAUGGUAACUCAGCCUUCUCCAAGACCUGGUAAAGCAACGUGGCCCACCUUCUCUGAGAGAGGGAAAAGCGGACCAACCGAGGAGAGACAUCGUCAAACAAAAUCCUUUAAGGAAAGGACUGCUAGGUGCAGUGCUGGCUCAUUAGUUAACAGCACUUGUUGCUCUUGCAGAGGACCUGGGUUUGACUCCCAGCACCCACAUGGUGGCUCACAACUCUUAACUCCAGUCCCAGCAGAUCUGACAUCUUCUUCUGAGCCCUUCCAGGUCCUGGAUCUAAGUAAAAAACGGAAUAUUUUCAGACCAUUAUCUGCGAAUGAUCUGCGAAUUAUCCAGGCAAAUGAUUAUUUAUUAAGGUGGGAUAAAAGAUUAUACAAGGUUAUAGUUCAUUUCCUAUAGACUGAGAGGAUAGAGGCCUUGAGGGUAUUAGAAAAAUACUCUUAGAAAUCGGUGGGGGAAAGUAAGUUUAGAGGCAUUAAGAAAUCUAAAUGAGGGAUUUUGAUGAAUUUUGUGCUUGAAAUUGGGUAUGGUGUAUACCUAUAGGGGAGGCUAAAGCAAGAAAGUUGAGAGUUUAAGGCCAGCCUGGGUUAUAGAUGAGGCCUUGUUUCAAACAGACAAACACCCAAAACUAAAACCAACAAUAACCACCUUCCACACCACUCAACACAGACAAAACACAAACACCAAAAACUGGGGCUAGGACUAGGGAGACCUGGCUCUGUUGGUAAAUGCUGAGUUUGAUUCCCCAGAACCCGUAUGAAAACUCAGUUGUGGUGGCCUGUGCUUGGGAUCCCAGGUCUAACCAACCUACUCUACCUGGAGAGUCCUGGGUUGCAGUGAGAGACCCUGUCUCCAAGUUUAAGGUGGACAGCUCCCAAGAAGUAACACCCAGGGCUGACCUAUAUUUGCACCUGAAUACACAAACUCCAAAAUCAGACCCCAACUAUCAUAAAGCCGACUCUGCUGCUUGACUCUGACUGUACAACUCUGUUUGACUCUGCUAUGCAGCUGACUGCAUCUGCUCAGCCUUCCUAUUCUCUCUCUCUCUCUCUCUCUCAGACUAGCUUUUCCUUCCCUAGCGUCUCCUUCCUUCCACUACUGGAGGAACGUACUUGAUGACUGGUGCCAGAGGCCCAAAGGUCUCCUCAGUGAUGCAGAGCAUGUCCCUGGUGACAUUGCUGAGCAGGGUGGGCUCAAAGAAAUUUCCUCCACUUUGGUGUCGCUUUCCGCCCGUCACAACCGUGGCCCCUUUGGCAACUGCGUCAUUCACCUGCUUCUCUACCUGAGAGAUGAGAAGAAGGGCACCAGGGAAAGCUGGAUAGGGACAUUUUCCAAAUUGUACAAUCCCUUAAAAUGUUAAACAGCAAAAAACCAGUCAAGACUCGAUUCCUGGGAAUCACAUGGUGGAAGGAGAGAACGGACUCUGGAUAGCCCAUCGCUUUUCUGAGCUUUGCAUUUACGGAUGCUGGGCUGGUUGUACUCUUAGACCACUUGUCUACUUCUGUCUGGGUUGAAGAGAUGUUUGGAUACAUCUCAAAUAUCAUGGCAUUGCUUACCCAUGACAGAUGUUCGGUCUCAGAAAUGUGUUCUUAGCUGAUUUCACUAUUGAAUAAACAUCAUACAAUAUUUUGAUAUAAACCC
ensembl:antisense 4932702P03Rik RIKEN cDNA 4932702P03 gene